GAUGAACGCCGGCGGUGUGCCUAAUACAUGCAAGUCGAACGCGUUGGCCCAACUGAUUGAACGUGCUUGCACGGACUUGACGUUGGUUUACCAGCGAGUGGCGGACGGGUGAGUAACACGUAGGUAACCUGCCCCAAAGCGGGGGGUAACACUUGGAAAUAGAUGCUAAUACGGCAUAACAAUUUGAAUCGAAUGAUUCAAAUUUAAAAAAUGGCUUCGGCUAUCACUUUGGGUUGGACUUGCGGCGCAUGAGCUUGUUGGUAGGGUAACGGCCUACCAAGGCUGUGAUGCGUAGCCGAGUUGAGAGACUGAUCGGCCAGAAUGGAACUGAGACACGGUCCAUACUCCUACGGGAGGCAGCAGUAGGGAAUCUUCCACAAUGGGCGCAAGACUGAUGGAGCAACACCGCGUGAGUGAAGAAGGGUUUCGGCUCGUAAAGCUCUGUUGUUAGAGAAGAACGUGCGUGAGAGCAACUGUUCACGCAGUGACGGUAUCUAACCAGAAAGUCACGGCUAGCUACGUGCCAGCCGCCGCCGUAAUAC
rnacentral:rRNA from 1 species